rnacentral:rRNA from 1 species
AUUGAACGCUGGCGGCAUGCCUUACACAUGCAAGUCGAACGGUAACAGGUCUUCGGAUGCUGACGAGUGGCGAACGGGUGAGUAAUACAUCGGAACGUGCCCGAGAGUGGGGGAUAACGAGGCGAAAGCUUUGCUAAUACCGCAUACGAUCUCAGGAUGAAAGCAGGGGACCGCAAGGCCUUGCGCUCACGGAGCGGCCGAUGGCAGAUUAGGUAGUUGGUGGGAUAAAAGCUUACCAAGCCGACGAUCUGUAGCUGGUCUGAGAGGACGACCAGCCACACUGGGACUGAGACACGGCCCAGACUCCUACGGGAGGCAGCAGUGGGGAAUUUUGGACAAUGGGCGCAAGCCUGAUCCAGCCAUGCCGCGUGCAGGAUGAAGGCCUUCGGGUUGUAAACUGCUUUUGUACGGAACGGAAAGACUCUGGUUAAUACCUGGGGUCCAUGACGGUACCGUAAGAAUAAGGAUCGGCUAACUCCGUGCCAGCCGCCGCGGUAAUAC